rnacentral:misc_RNA from 1 species
AUGAAAAUAAAUCUAUUAUUAUCUGUAUAUGCAUACAUCAUGCCUGGACGUGGCAAUUUGUUGUCCUUAUUUCAUAAAGAAACGGAGACAUCGGAAGUUUCUUCAUCUAGUGGAGAGCAUGCCAAGGAUAGUGGCUUAGAUGCUGACCAGUCUGUUUCAAGUGGAGAAUACCGACGCAUUGCCAGGGAUGAUAUUGCAAGUGAGCUUGCAUCAACUAUUCAAAAUGUCAGCAUUUCAAUUGGACGUGGACGUGCAAAUUUUCUGCAAUCCUUUCAAAAUGAAUCCCAACAAUUAAAGAACGAAAAAGAAACAUCGACUUUUUCAAAACUCUUAGAUGAUUCUCCUGGACAAAAAAAAGCAAAAAAUUCAGCAUUUACUUAUGGUAGAUCUGAAAUCAAAAUAAACAAUUCUAUGGAUGGUUUGUUUUGUCCUAGCACUAUUUACGGCACUAAAGGUACGCCGGUUAACUUGUCAUGUAAUUAUAUAGGAGUAAAGUCUGACCCUAAGAAAGGAGUUUACCUUUAUGAAGUACGAUUCAAUCCUCCCGUUGAUUCAAUUCAUUUAAGAAUGAAGUAUUUAAAUGAACACAAAAACCGAUUUGGAGGAGCUAAAACCUUUGAUGGAUCCAUCCUGUACUUACCGAUUUUAUUAGAAAGGGAAUUGACAACUUUUGUUUCCAAAAAUGUUGAAAAUAAGGAUAUUGAAAUAAGACUUCUGUUUAAAAAAAAAGAGUCUCUUAAGAAUUGUAUACAAUUGUACAAUAUAUUAUUUGAUCGCGUAAUGAAAUCUUUAAAUUAUGUUAAAUUUGAUCGAAAGCAUUUUGAUCCCUCACGACCAAAAGUUAUUCCUAUGGCGAAGUUAGAAGUUUGGCCGGGCUAUGUUAUUGCUGUCGAUGAAUACGACGGUGGUUUAAUGCUGUGCUGCGAUGUAUCACAUCGUUUACUAUGCCAAAAAACAGUAUUGGAUAUGCUAAUAGAGAUUUAUCAACACAACAAGAUUAAUUACCAAGAUAUAGCUAAAAAAUAUUUAGUUGGAAGCAUAGUUUUAACUCGAUAUAAUAAUCGGAUGUAUAGAAUUGAUGAUAUAUGUUUUUCCCAAAAUCCACAUUCAGAAUUUGAAACAAGAACGGGAUCUCAAAGCUACGUUGAAUACUACAAAAACCACCAUAAUAUUUACAUUAAAGACGGCAAGCAACCAUUACUUAUAAGCUUAAAACAAAUGAGGAAAGAGAAAACUGUCAAUACAGAAAACAUACAGUUUUGCUUAAUCCCUGAACUGUGUUACCUUACCGGCCUUCACGAUGAAAUUCGGUCAGACAAAAAACUAAUGCGUGAAAUAGCAACUUUCACUAGUGUUACUCCAAAUCAGCGUAUACUAGCUCUUGAUAAAUAUUUUAAAAAUGUAUCUGAAAACGACGAAGCGAAAGAAAUCCUUGAAAACUGGGGCUUAUCGCUCUUUAAAAACUAUCAUAAUGCAAUUGGUCGGAAAAUGGAUUCAGAGCAAAUAUAUUUUGCUAACCAAUGCAUUUUAGCUGAUCAUAAGGCAGACUUUUCAAAAGAUGUCACAAACAAUGAAAUGCUAGAAGUUAAACAUAUAAAAAGUUGGAUCGUUAUUCACCAAAAAAAUGAUGUUCGAUCGGCAAAAGCGUUUUUAACUAAUGUAGAACGAUGCUCCGAAGCUUUUGGAAUGAGCAUAUGCAAGCCAACUAUAAUUACAUUGGAACAAGAUAGAGUCGAUACAUAUGUUGAUGCUUUACGACGAAACAUUAGAACACAAACCCAAAUAGUUGUUUGUAUAUGUCCGAAUAUCAGAGAUGACAGAUAUAGUGCUAUAAAAAAAAUUUGCUGCUCGGAGCUACCGGUCGCAUCACAGAGAUGGGGUUGGCGAUGGUCAAUUGAAUUUAUGUGCCAAAUACGAAAUUCCGCAAUUUGAAGACGUGUGUAAAAAGAAUAUUAAAAUUACCUUUAUAAUAGUUCAAAAGCGUAAUAAUACUCGAUUCUUUUCGAAAAGUAACAACAAUUUCGAAAAUCCUUUACCGGGGACGGUGGUUGAUAAAUAUAUUACAAGAUCGCAUAUGUAUGAUUUUUU